UCGCGUCAAGCGCCGUAGGCAGGAGCGGGGGACCCAAGGUAAGCGCCGCACCGGGAAGUCGCCGGAGCGGCUUGGGGUGAAGUCACCCCUCCCACGGAGCGGAAGUCUCCGGCGGAGGAGUGACCGGGCAACUCACACGGCCCGAACCCGACAGCUCACCUCGCAGGCGUCGGUGAGGGGAUCC
rnacentral:sRNA from 2 species